rnacentral:misc_RNA from 1 species
AACGCACCUUGCGCUCCUUGGUAUUCCGAGGAGCAUGCCUGUUUGAGUGUCUUGAAGUCAUCAACCCCUGCCUGUUUGCGGAUGGGCUUGGGUUGGAUGUUGGGGGCCUGCUGCCGUGAGGUGGCUCCCCUUAAAUGCGUCGGUUGGGCCAGUGGGCCGCAUCCGAUCGGGCGUUGUAACACCCUCGCUCUUGGUCGGGGCCCUGUCCGAGCCCUCCUGCGACCGCCUCUGGAGUGGCGGUCAGAAACUGAUCUUUGAACCUCUGACCUCAAAUCAGGUAGGACUACCCGCUGAACUUAA